rnacentral:rRNA from 1 species
AUGCAUAGCCGACCUGAGAGGGUGAUCGGCCACACUGGAAAUGAGACACGGUCCAGACUCCUACGGGAGGCAGCAGUAGGGAAUCUUCCGCAAUGGGCGAAAGCCUGACGGAGCAACGCCGCGUGAGUGAUGAAGGUCUUCGGAUCGUAAAACUCUGUUAUUAGGGAAGAACAUAUGUGUAAGUAACUGUGCACAUCUUGACGGUACCUAAUCAGAAAGCCACGGCUAACUACGUGCCAGCAGCCGCGGUAAUACGUAGGUGGCAAGCGUUAUCUGGAAUUAUUGGGCGUAAAGCGCGCGUAGGCGGUUUUUUAAGUCUGAUGUGAAAGCCCACGGCUCAACCGUGGAGGGUCAUUGGAAACUGGAAAACUUGAGUGCAGAAGAGGAAAGUGGAAUUCCAUGUGUAGCGGUGAAAUGCGCAGAGAUAUGGAGGAACACCAGUGGCGAAGGCGACUUUCUGGUCUGUAACUGACGCUGAUGUGCGAAAGCGUGGGGAUCAAACAGGAUUAGAUACCCUGGUAGUCCACGCCGUAAACGAUGAGUGCUAAGUGUUAGGGGGUUUCCGCCCCUUAGUGCUGCAGCUAACGCAUUAAGCACUCCGCCUGGGGAGUACGACCGCAAGGUGAAACUCAAAGGAAUUGACGGC